UCGCCUGCAGGGGGCACCAGUGGCACAGUCAGGACGUGGCGGCGCAGGGAGGGGGCCUGGAGGGGAGGGGAGCCUGCAGGGCAGCCCACGCCCCGCCUCCUUUCUCUGUCUGGAGGGGCAGGUGGAGGCGAGGCCAGGCUGCGGUCUUACUGAGUCCCAGGAAGCCAAUUUUGUUGGCGUUAUAGUUAGAAGCAGGCUGCCCAGAGCGCACGAUGCAGAAAAACCAGUUUUACAUAAUUUAUAAAGAUCCAGGAUCCAGUUUAAGGUCGAGUCAUCUUGCGGCCUCCUUUAUGCAAAGCUGCUUUCUGAAGGCAACUCCAUGGAAGGAAGGGGGAGGGAGGCACCCAGGAAGCUGAUUUAUAAGGCAGACAUCAGGAGGCCUUCGCUGGUCAGGCCGCAGCUACAUGAAGAGAGAGUUACUCUAAAGCCCACGCCUAUAAAAUACCUUCCCGGAGAGGAGAACAGAGUCGAAUUCCAGCAGCAAAAGUGACUCACUCUGUGCGUUGUCUUCUUCCUCCUCCCGUCUCCCGGAGUGGACCACCAUCCCUCCCUGGAAACACUGCAGAAAACAGGGGGGCUCCUUGCCCUGCAGGACCUGGACCUUCCGAUUUAAACACAUUACAGUGAGUCACGUGUCCUGGUUUUGCAGAGUCAUAAAAAUAACACAUGCCUGUUGUCGAAAAUCUGAAAGAUACUGAGAAGUACAAAUAAAAGCCACUGAUAACACUGUGAUUUAUGGAGAACACUACUACAAUUCUGGCGUGUAGCUUUCCUAUAAUGCAAAGUAUUUUUCAGGUAUACAUUUUUCCCAAAUAGGAUCGCUGUUUUUUAUGUUGCUUUAUCCCUGGAUUUUCUUCAGCUGACGUUUUUCUGUCGUCACAUAAGAUUCUUAACAUGAAUUUUGAUAUUUUAAUGGUAGUGUUCCAUGGUACGGAUAUAACGUGAUUAACUUAAACAUGUUUUUAAUAAAGAAAAUCUCUCAGCAGUGA